AGUUGGCUAAUCUAAAAACCUGGAGGUGCUUAACUUGUAUUGGAAUUACCUCUAUGGAACUUUGCCCGUCCAAGAGCUGAUGGGGUUUAGUAGUUUGGAGAUACUAGAUUUUAGCUACAAUAACUUUGAAGGCUCCAUCCCUCCAAGUAUAGGGAACCUAUCCACCCUCAAGGCCUUCUCCGUUGCUCAUAAUUUACUCGAGGGUUCUUUGCCGUCCGGUUUGUGUGAAUUGAAGAGACUACAAGAGUUGGAUCUCAGCCAAAAUCACUCUGGAGGAACCAUUCCUCCUGUCCUAUUUAAUAUCUAUUGAGUUGUUAGAUGCAUCAGAUAACAAUUUUAAUGGAACAUUUUCAACGUCUUUGGUGCACAACCUCACGGCGGUAUCUUGAUUUUUGUUACAACGAUUUCGAGGGUUUAUUCUCGCUGAGUUCGAUCGAAAAUCACUCCGAGCUCCAAGUGUUUCAAUUGAUAAGCAACAAUGGCAGGUUGCAGAUUGGUACUGGGAGUCCUCCAGGGUGGUUUCCUUCGUUCCAAUUGAAGGUUUUGGCACUAUCCAACUGUAGUCUGAACAGUCAUACCAAUGUUGUUCCUAGCUUUCUUCGCCACCAGUUCGAUUUGCGCAUAGUUGAGUUGUGCGAAAGUUUUCCUGGUUGGUUACUCGAAAACAAUACCAACCUUGCAACUCUGUUGCUAAGGAACAACUCUUUCUUCGGGGAAUUUCAGUUACCUCCAUUCGUUUUGAUCAACACUGUUAUGGUGGAUGUAUCGAGCAAUCGAAUUCAUGGUCUUCCGAUGAAUAUCGGAAAAAUCGUUCCACAUCUGGAGUAUCUGGAUUUAUCCAGAAAUGCUUUCGAUCAAGACCUAUUGCCCUCCAUUGGUGACAUGAGAAAUUUGCAAGU